AACGCUGGCGGCGUGCCUAAUACAUGCAAGUCGAGCGAACAGACGAGGAGCUUGCUCCUUUGACGUUAGCGGCGGACGGGUGAGUAACACGUGGAUAACCUACCUAUAAGACUGGGAUAACUUCGGGAAACCGGAGCUAAUACCGGAUAACAUGUUGAACCGCAUGGUUCAACAGUGAAAGACGGUCUUGCUGUCACUUAUAGAUGGAUCCGCGCCGCAUUAGCUAGUUGGUAAGGUAACGGCUUACCAAGGCAACGAUGCGUAGCCGACCUGAGAGGGUGAUCGGCCACACUGGAACUGAGACACGGUCCAGACUCCUACGGGAGGCAGCAGUAGGGAAGCUUCCGCAAUGGGCGAAAGCCUGACGGAGCAACGCCGCGUGAGUGAAGAAGGUCUUCGGAUCGUAAAACUCUGUUAUUAGGGAAGAACAAAUGUGUAAGUAACUAUGCACGUCUUGACGGUACCUAAUCAGAAAGCCACGGCUAACUACGUGCCAGCAGCCGCGGUAAUACGUAGGUGGCAAGCGUUAUCCGGAAUUAUUGGGCGUAAAGCGCGCGUAGGCGGUUUUUUAAGUCUGAUGUGAAAGCCCACGGCUCAACCGUGGAGGGUCAUUGGAAACUGGAAAACUUGAGUGCAGAAGAGGAAAGUGGAAUUCCCAUGUGUAGCGGUGAAAUGCGCAGAGAUAUGGAGGAACACCAGUGGCGAAGGCGACUUUCUGGUCUGUAACUGACGCUGAUGUGCGAAAGCGUGGGGAUCAAACAGGAUUAGAUACCCUGGUAGUCCACGCCGUAAACGAUGAGUGCUAAGUGUUAGGGGGUUUCCGCCCCUUAGUGCUGCAGCUAACGCAUUAAGCACUCCGCCUGGGGAGUACGACCGCAAGGUUGAAACUCAAAGGAAUUGACGGGGACCCGCACAAGCGGUGGAGCAUGUGGUUUAAUUCGAAGCAACGCGAAGAACCUUACCAAAUCUUGACAUCCUCUGACCCCUCUAGAGAUAGAGUUUUCCCCUUCGGGGGACAGAGUGACAGGUGGUGCAUGGUUGUCGUCAGCUCGUGUCGUGAGAUGUUGGGUUAAGUCCCGCAACGAGCGCAACCCUUAAGCUUAGUUGCCAUCAUUAAGUUGGGCACUCUAAGUUGACUGCCGGUGACAAACCGGAGGAAGGUGGGGAUGACGUCAAAUCAUCAUGCCCCUUAUGAUUUGGGCUACACACGUGCUACAAUGGACAAUACAAAGGGUAGCGAAACCGCGAGGUCAAGCAAAUCCCAUAAAGUUGUUCUCAGUUCGGAUUGUAGUCUGCAACUCGACUACAUGAAGCUGGAAUCGCUAGUAAUCGUGGAUCAGCAUGCUACGGUGAAUACGUUCCCGGGUCUUGUACACACCGCCCGUCACACCACGAGAGUUUGUAACACCCGAAGCCGGUGGAGUAACCUUUUGGAGCUAGCCGUCGAAGGUGGGACAAAUGAAAGG
rnacentral:rRNA from 1 species